CAUACGGGAGGCAGCAGUGAGGAAUUUUGCGCAAUGGGGGAAACCCUGACGCAGCAACGCCGCGUGAGUGAUGAAGGCUUUCGGGUCGUAAAGCUCUGUCAAGUGGGAAGAACAUGCCCUGUGAUAAUACCAUGGGGCACUGACGGUACCACUGAAGGAAGCACCGGCUAACUCCGUGCCAGCAGCCGCGGUAAUACGGGGGGUGCAAGCGUUAUUCGGAAUCAUUGGGCGUAAAGGGCGCGUAGGCGGCCCCUUAAGUCAGAUGUGAAAGCCCUCAGCUUAACUGAGGAAGUGCAUUUGAAACUAAGGGGCUUGAGUAUGGGAGAGGGAAGCGGAAUUCCUGGUGUAGCGGUGAAAUGCGUAGAUAUCAGGAGGAACACCGGUGGCGAAGGCGGCUUCCUGGACCAAUACUGACGCUGAGGCGCGAAGGCGUGGGGAGCAAACAGGAUUAGAUACCCUGGUAGUCCACGCAGUAAACUGUGAACACUAGGUGUAGCGGGUAUUGACCCCUGCUGUGCCGAAGCUAACGCAUUAAGUGUUCCGCCUGGGAAGUACGGUCGCAAGGCUAAAACUCAAAGGAAUUGACGG
rnacentral:rRNA from 1 species